rnacentral:rRNA from 1 species
AAUGGGCGCAAGCCUGAUCCAGCCAUGCCGCGUGCGGGAAGAAGGCCUUCGGGUUGUAAACCGCUUUCGGACAGAAAGAAAUCGCAUGGACUAAUACUCUGUGUGGAUGACGGUACUGUAAGAAGAAGCACCGGCUAACUACGUGCCAGCAGCCGCGGUAAUACGUAGGGUGCGAGCGUUAAUCGGAAUUACUGGGCGUAAAGCGUGCGCAGGCGGAUAUUUAAGUCAGACGUGAAAUCCCCGGGCUUAACCUGGGAAUGGCGUUUGAAACUGGAUGUCUAGAGUGUGGCAGAGGGGGGUGGAAUUCCACGUGUAGCAGUGAAAUGCGUAGAGAUGUGGAGGAACACCGAUGGCGAAGGCAGCCCCCUGGGCUAACACUGACGCUCAUGCACGAAAGCGUGGGGAGCAAA